rnacentral:rRNA from 1 species
GAUGAACGCUGGCGGCGUGCUUAACACAUGCAAGUCGAACGGAAAGGCCCAAGCUUGCUUGGGUACUCGAGUGGCGAACGGGUGAGUAACACGUGGGUGAUCUGCCCUGCACUUCGGGAUAAGCCUGGGAAACUGGGUCUAAUACCGGAUAGGACCACAUUUUGGAUGGUGUGGUGGAAAGUUUUUCGGUGUGGGAUGAGCUCGCGGCCUAUCAGCUUGUUGGUGGGGUAAUGGCCUACCAAGGCGUCGACGGGUAGCCGGCCUGAGAGGGUGUACGGCCACAUUGGGACUGAGAUACGGGCCAGACUCCUACGGGAGGCAGCAGUGGGGAAUAUUGCACAAUGGGCGCAAGCCUGAUGCAGCGACGCCGCGUGGGGGAUGACGGCCUUCGGGUUGUAAACUCCUUUCGCUAGGGACGAAGCGAAAGUGACGGUACCUGGAGAAGAAGCACCGGCUAACUACGUG